GCACGGUGCCAGACCACUUCCGAAGCAGCAGACGAGUAUCGCAUGAGAAAAGACCUGAUCGAGCCAACGCCGCGUGAGUGAUGAAAGGAUUUUGAUCGUAAAAAUACUGCUUAUAUGGUAGAAACAAAAAAAGUAAGUAGACUUUGCUGCAUCAUUGACGGGUACCGUUAUCAAGASAAGACCACGGCCUAAACUACGUGCCAGCAGCCCGCGGGUGAAUAACAUAGGUGGCAAGCGUAUCUCGUAAUUAUUGGGCGUAAAGAAAAGCGUAGGGCGGGUUUUUUUUGUUUGAUGUGAAGAGAACCCGGCUCAACCGUGGAGGGGUCAUUUGUAAACUGGGAGACUUGAGUGCAGAAGAGGAGAAGUGGAAUUCCUUGUGUAGCGGUGAAAUGCGCAGAGAUAUGGAGGAACACCACUGGGGAAGGGGACUUUCUGGUCUGUAACUGACGCUGAUGUGCGAAAGCGUGGGGAUCAAACAGGAUUAGAUACCCUGGUAGUCCACCCCGUAAACGAUGAGUGCUAAGUGUUAGGGGGUUUCCGCCCCUUAGUGCUGCAGCUAACGCAUUAAGCACUCCCCCUGGGGAGUACGACCGCAAGGUUGAAACUCAAAGGAAUUGACGGGGACCCGCACAAGCGGUGGAGCAUGUGGUUUAAUUUGAAGCAACGCGAAGAACCUUCCCAAAUCUUGACAUCCUUUGAAAACUCUAGAGAUAGAGCCUUCCCCUUCGGGGGACAAAGUGACAGGUGGUGCAUGGUUGUCGUCAGCUCGUGUCGUGAGAUGUUGGGUUAAGUCCCGCAACGAGCGCAACCCUUAAGCUUAGUUGCCAUCAUUAAGUUGGGCACUCUAGGUUGACUGCCGGUGACAAACCGGAGGAAGGUGGGGAUGACGUCAAAUCAUCAUGCCCCUUAUGAUUUGGGCUACACACGUGCUACAAUGGACAAUACAAAGGGCAGCUAAACCGCGAGGUCAUGCAAAUCCCAUAAAGUUGUUCUCAGUUCGGAUUGUAGUGUGCAACUCGACUACAUGAAGCUGGAAUCGCUAGUAAUCGUAGAUCAGCAUGCUACGGUGAAUACGUUCCCGGGUCUUGUACACACCCCCCGUCACACCCCGAGAGUUUUAACACCCGAAGCCGGUGGAGUAACCAUUUAUGGAGCUAGCCGUCGAAA
rnacentral:rRNA from 1 species